GAGGAACAAAAUGUCGAAGAAAGCCGACUUGUUGAGUGGUAUCGAUGAAGAAGACCAAGAAAACCAACCACCUGUGUUCAAAGUGUUUGGUUACGGUCUCUUCUGUGGAAAGUGAACUUUAAUUAUUCUAGUCGUGAUCAUGGUCAUAUCAAAGGGUUCCAGAGAAAAUUCUGGCAGAACAACAAGACUCAUCGAGGGACAGAAGAAAAGCCCGGACGAGUAGCCAUUCUUCACGAAGCUGAAGAAGACAAAACACUCAGCGGGGUGAUGUUUACCAUUAAGGGUGCAUCAGACAUUGAGGAUGCCAAACAGAAAUUGGAUACACGGGAAACAGUGCUGGGUGGUUACGUCUCAAUUCAGACCACGUUCUACGAUGAAUAUGGUGUCGAGUCCGAUGUCAGUGUAUUUACAGCUACCCCUGACAAUGACCUCUAUGUGGGACAGAUUUGUGAUCAUCCUCAUGAUGACGUAGAACACAUAGCUACACAGGUUGUCGGUGCCCAAGGCCGCGCUGGAACCAAUGCAGAAUACGUCAUCAAACUGGCAAAUAAUGUUAGAAGACCUUUUCCAAACGAGGACGACGACCAUUUAUUUUUGCUCGAGAAAAAAGUCACCGAAAAAUUGAGUAAUCGUUCGCGGACAGUUCAAAUCAACUACGAACAACUGAAUGGUAUAAACCAUCAUGAUAUUUGAUUUUCUAAAUGUCACAACAUAUGAUGCUACGAUUGUAAUAUUUAUGAAUAUGUUUACAUUGUUUUAUCUGUAACAUGAAUGUACGAUGGUCAGUAUAUCAUAUUUAAAUUAUGUUUAUCAAUAAUUAUCACUUAUUAAAUAUUUUAGAGCUAU
rnacentral:misc_RNA from 1 species